rnacentral:rRNA from 1 species
CACGUAGGGCGCGAGCGUUGUCCGGAAUUAUUGGGCGUAAAGAGCUCGUAGGCGGCCUGUUGCGUCCGCUGUGAAAGCCCGGGGCUUAACCCCGGGUCGGCAGUGGAUACGGGCAGGCUAGAGGUAGGUAGGGGAGAAUGGAAUUUCCGGUGUAGCGGUGAAAUGCGCAGAUAUCGGGAGGAACACCGGUGGCGAAGGCGGUUCUCUGGGCAUGUUCUGACGCUGAGGAGCGAAAGUGUGGGGAGCGAACAGG